GAGGGCGGGGGCGCGCGUAGCCUCCUCGGCACCUGAGCCGUCGGGCGCGCGCGGCUGGGCCGGUGCGCAAGCGCGCGGGGUGCUGGGUCCCGCCCACGCCCAGGACAGACCUUGUGAGGGAGCGCGCGCUCACGUCGGCACGCGCAUGCCUAAGCACCGGGGACUCCGCCCCUCGAGACUCCCAGCCAAACCGGUUCCAGCUGGAACAGGACACGUGUUCCAUGCCGGGGAAGUCCUAGCGGAGUCGGCACCGUUCCGCCGUGGCGAAACCUCGCCGUUAUCGGGAGAACCUGAGGGUCAGAGCAAGCAGCCCUGAGCUGGCCUUCUCACCCUGUCACGGUGAAAAGUCCUCAAGUACUAUCGUCUCAUGUCCUAAGUGUUUCUAGUUGUACCCUCCGCUCCGUCCUCGCCGUGCUGACUUCACCCGGAGUACCCCAGAUACGACUCCAGUUUUGGCUUUGCCUCUGGAGGUCUGUGUGGUGUUGGAUGAAAUGCUCAUUCAACCUCCCUGACUCCUCAGCUAACUGAAACCCAUCGUGCCCUGGAGGGCAAAGUGCAGUAGGUGCUGCUAGAAUCGACCUUGGAUGGCUCCCCCUACCUGCCAGGAUGAUGGAGAACUCAAGGCUUUGGAGCCCGACAGACCCAGGUCCCUCAAUCAAGAUGAGCCACAUCCAGAUCUGACACCAAUCGUGAGAGCCUGAUUUUAAGAUUGAAUGAGACUUUGGGGGUCUUGUAGGUAACGUGUAUUUUCUAUGUG